CUUUGCGGGUUUUGCAUAUCAAAUAGCGGAGGAAAAGAAACCAACAGGGAUUGCCUCAGUAACGGCGAGUGAAGCGGCAAAAGCUCAAAUUUGAAAUCCCCCGGGAAUUGUAAUUUGAAGAGAUUUGGGUCCGGCCGGCGGGGGUUAAGUCCACUGGAAAGUGGCGCCACAGAGGGUGACAGCCCCGUGAACCCCUUUAAAGCCCUCAUCCCAGAUCUCCAAGAGUCGAGUUGUUUGGGAAUGCAGCUCUAAGUGGGUGGUAAAUUCCAUCUAAAGCUAAAUACCGGCGAGAGACCGAUAGCGAACAAGUACAGUGAUGGAAAGAUGAAAAGCACUUUGAAAAGAGAGUGAAAAAGUACGUGAAAUUGUUGAAAGGGAAGGGCUUGCAAGCAGACACUUAACUGGGCCAGCAUCGGGGCGGCGGGGAGCAAAACCACCGGGGAAUGUACCUUUCGAGGAUUAUAACCCCGGCCCUUACUCCCACACCACCCCGAGGCCUGCAAUCUAAGGAUGCUGGCGUAAUGGUUGCAAGUCGCCCGUCUUGAAAAACCGGAACAAAAAAAGGUUUAA
rnacentral:rRNA from 1 species